rnacentral:rRNA from 1 species
AGUGAACGCUGGCGGUAGGCCUAACACAUGCAAGUCGAACGGCAGCACAGUAAGAGCUUGCUCUUACGGGUGGCGAGUGGCGGACGGGUGAGGAAUACAUCGGAAUCUACUUUUUCGUGGGGGAUAACGUAGGGAAACUUACGCUAAUACCGCAUACGACCUACGGGUGAAAGCAGGGGAUCUUCGGACCUUGCGCGAUUGAAUGAGCCGAUGUCGGAUUAGCUAGUUGGCGGGGUAAAGGCCCACCAAGGCGACGAUCCGUAGCUGGUCUGAGAGGAUGAUCAGCCACACUGGAACUGAGACACGGUCCAGACUCCUACGGGAGGCAGCAGUGGGGAAUAUUGGACAAUGGGCGCAAGCCUGGUCCAGCCAUACCGCGUGGGUGAAGAAGGCCUUCGGGUUGUAAAGCCCUUUUGUUGGGAAAGAAAGGCAGCAGGUUAAUACCCCGCUGUUCUGACGGUACCCAAAGAAUAAGCACCGGCUAACUUCGUG